UCGUGUUAUAAUUUUGCCAUUCACAACACCGGGAAUAACACCUUUAACACGAAUCUAUGGAAUGAGUCCAUGGCCAGAAAGGGAUCAGCUGAAAUAAAUUCGGCACUUCUGAAGCGCAUCACCGACAGAUACUCAUAGUCGGAACAAGGGCGAGAAAGAAAGGUGAUAGUGUGGUCCGACCGCUGUGUGGGCCAAAAUAAUAACUGGAAACAUGUUGCCUUGUAUUUCUACCUCGUCGCACAAUAGUACUUUAGUGAAAUAAACCAAAAGUUCCUAUGCACAAGCCACAGUUUCUUGCGUUGCGAUCGUGAUUUUGUUCACAUUGAGGAAAAGAAGAGUCAGCCAGGUGAUGGUAUCUUCUCAGUGGAGCGAUGUCAUUGCAGAAGUCGUUAGAAAUCAUCCGUUCAGUGUUACAACUUUGACGCAGUCAGACUUCAAAGACCUGAGCGGAAUCGAGGAUGUCUCGAAGAGGACCUCAAAACUCAAAAUCACUGAAGUUAUGUGGCUAAAGUUUUCUCACGAUGAUCCAUUCGCAGUAAGCGUUCGUGCUAGUCACAACCUACUUCGUCCAUGGGAAAGAUACGAGAUCCUGAAACUGCCUAAACGAAACAGCAACCAUGCAGCCUUUCCUAAGACGU
rnacentral:lncRNA from 1 species